rnacentral:rRNA from 1 species
UGCCAGCAGCCGCGGUAAUACGGAGGGGGCGAGCGUUAUUCGGAAUUACUGGGCGUAAAGGGUGCGUAGGCGGCCCAUCAAGUUAGACGUGAAAGCCCCGGGCUCAACCUGGGAACUGCAUUUGAAACUGGAAGUCUGGAGUUCAGGAGAGGUUAGCGGAAUACCGAGUGUAGAGGUGAAAUUCGUAGAUAUUCGGUGGAACACCAGUGGCGAAGGCGGCUAACUGGACUGAUACUGACGCUGAGGUGCGAAAGUGUGGGGAGCAAAAGGGAUUAGAUA